UGCGGAGGGAGCUAGCGUUGUUCGGAAUUACUGGGCGUAAAGCGAACGUAGGCGGCUUUGUAAGUUAGAGGUGAAAGCCCGGAGCUCAACUCCGGAACUGCCUUUAAGACUGCAUCGCUAGAACGUCGGAGAGGUAAGUGGAAUUCCGAGUGUAGAGGUGAAAUUCGUAGAUAUUCGGAAGAACACCAGUGGCGAAGGCGACUUACUGGACGACUGUUGACGCUGAGGUGCGAAAGCGUGGGGAGCAAACAGG
rnacentral:rRNA from 1 species